rnacentral:lncRNA from 1 species
UCUCUGGGGGUGUGUGAGGAUUGGUGAGCAAAUGCAUUCCAGCUGGUGGGCUGGGACAUCUGCGUGUAUCAAACUGUUGGAAACAUCCAUCCAUAAUGCUGCCAAAUGCUAUUUUGUUGUAUCAGAAACAGGGUGCUAACACAGACAGGAAUCGUCACUUCCCCGUAUACUUCUGGUAGCCUUUCCCAUGUGCAAGCAUUAGUUUAGGUAAUUACUAAGUCUGGUCCUGACAUCUCUGACUCCAUUUUGACUGGAAGGAGGAGCAAAGACAACCAGAAAGAAGAUGCAGCAAAACAGAGGGUCACCUCGUGGAACAAGGGAUUCCGAGCGAGUGCACGAAUAACAGCACGUGGCUGAAGGAGAGGUGACAGGCAAGUCCCCUGCAUGAGAAGUUCUGCAGAAUUAGUGGGCUGGAAUGGCAAAAGAAAUCAUGUACCAAAGUUCUCUCCACUGGACAGAAGGAACAUCAUGGUCUUCAUAAGAGAUCGCCACGCAGACAUGAUGCUCAUUAUCUGUGCAGGAGGUCGCCUUUGCGUGCUGGAGGAAAACACUGGUGGAUUCAACACUUCAUCUUUUUGCAGAGGCCAAGACUCUGACACUUGGAAAGAUGAAAGUCGUCAACUCUCAGCUGGUGUUUCAUCCAAGGGGAAAGGCCUGUGUUGA